rnacentral:rRNA from 1 species
UGACUCUUUAAGGGUCCUGAAGGAACGUUGAAGACGACGACGUUGAUAGGCCGGGUGUGUAAGCGCAGCGAUGCGUUGAGCUAACCGGUACUAAUGAACCGUGAGGCUUAACCUU